AUUAAACGCUGGCGGCAUGCCUUACACAUUCAAGUCGAACGGCAGCGGGGGAGAAGCUUGCUUUUCCUGCCGGCGAGUGGCGAACGGGUGAGUAAUACAUCGGAACGUGCCCUGUAGAGGGGGAUAACUAGUCGAAAGAUUAGCUAAUACCGCAUACGACCUGAGGGUGAAAGUGGGGGACCGCAAGGCCUCAUGCUAUAGGAGCGGCCGAUGUCUGAUUAGCUAGUUGGUUGGGUAAAGGCCUACCAAGGCGACGAUCAGUAGCUGGUCUGAGAGGACGAUCAGCCACACUGGGACUGAGACACGGCCCAGACUCCUACGGGAGGCAGCAGUGGGGAAUUUUGGACAAUGGGCGAAAGCCUGAUCCAGCAAUGCCGCGUGUGUGAAGAAGGCCUUCGGGUUGUAAAGCACUAUUGUCCGGAAAGAAAUGGCUCUGGUUAAUACCUGGGGUCGAUGACGGUACCGGAAGAAUAAGGACCGGCUAACUUCGUGCCAGCCGCCGCAGUAA
rnacentral:rRNA from 1 species